UACAGAGGUGGCAAGCGUUGUUCGGAAUUACUGGGCGUAAAGGGCGAGUAGGUGGCCAUCUAAGUCAGACGUGAAAUCCCCCGGCUUAACCUGGGAACUGCGUCUGAUACUGGACGGCUUGAGUAUGGGAGAGGAACGUAGAAUUCCAGGUGUAGCGGUGAAAUGCGUAGAUAUCAGGAGGAACACCGGUGGCGAAGGCGGGUCUCUGGGCCGAUACUGACGCUGAGGAGCGAAAGCGUGGGGAGCGAACAGG
rnacentral:rRNA from 1 species